rnacentral:siRNA from 1 species
GUUGAUGGGUCAAAUGGGUUGAUG